CCUACGGGUGGCUGCAGUGGGGAAUAUUGCACAAUGGGCGCAAGCCUGAUGCAGCCAUGCCGCGUGUGUGAAGAAGGCCUUCGGGUUGUAAAGCACUUUCAGCGGGGAGGAAGGCGGUGAGGUUAAUAACCUCAUCGAUUGACGUUACCCGCAGAAGAAGCACCGGCUAACUCCGUGCCAGCAGCCGCGGUAAUACGGAGGGUGCAAGCGUUAAUCGGAAUUACUGGGCGUAAAGCGCACGCAGGCGGUCUGUCAAGUCGGAUGUGAAAUCCCCGGGCUCAACCUGGGAACUGCAUUCGAAACUGGCAGGCUAGAGUCUUGUAGAGGGGGGUAGAAUUCCAGGUGUAGCGGUGAAAUGCGUAGAGAUCUGGAGGAAUACCGGUGGCGAAGGCGGCCCCCUGGACAAAGACUGACGCUCAGGUGCGAGAGCGUGGGGAGCAAACAGGAUUAGAUACACUGGUAGUC
rnacentral:rRNA from 1 species